AAAUUGAAGAGUUUGAUCAUGGCUCAGAUUGAACGCUGGCGGCAGGCCUAACACAUGCAAGUCGAACGGUAACAGGAAGCAGCUUGCUGCUUUGCUGACGAGUGGCGGACGGGUGAGUAAUGUCUGGGAAACUGCCUGGUGGAGGGGGAUAACUACUGGAAACGGUAGCUAAUACCGCAUAACGUCGCAAGACCAAAGAGGGGGACCUUCGGGCCUCUUGCCAUCGGAUGUGCCCAGAUGGGAUUAGCUAGUAGGUGGGGUAACGGCUCACCUAG
rnacentral:rRNA from 1 species